rnacentral:rRNA from 1 species
GACGAACGCUGGCGGCGUGCUUAACACAUGCAAGUCGAACGGAAAGGCCCUGCUUUUGUGGGGUGCUCGAGUGGCGAACGGGUGAGUAACACGUGAGUAACCUGCCCUUGACUUUGGGAUAACUUCAGGAAACUGGGGCUAAUACCGGAUAGGAGCUCCUGCUGCAUGGUGGGGGUUGGAAAGUUUCGGCGGUUGGGGAUGGACUCGCAGCUUAUCAGCUUGUUGGUGGGGUAGUGGCUUACCAAGGCUUUGACGGGUAGCCGGCCUGAGAGGGUGACCGGCCACAUUGGGACUGAGAUACGGCCCAGACUCCUACGGGAGGCAGCAGUGGGGAAUAUUGCACAAUGGGCGGAAGCCUGAUGCAGCAACGCCGCGUGCGGGAUGACGGCCUUCGGGUUGUAAACCGCUUUCGCCUGUGACGAAGCGUGAGUGACGGUAAUGGGUAAAGAAGCACCGGCUAACUACGUA